CCUACGGGAGGCAGCAGUGGGGGAUAUUGCACAAUGGGGGGAACCCUGAUGCAGCGACGCCGCGUGGGUGAAGGAGCGCUUCGGCGCGUAAAGCCCUAUCGGCAGGGAAGAAGGCGGACGGUACCUGACUAAGAAGCCCCGGCUAACUACGUGCCAGCAGCCGCGGUAAUACGUAGGGGGCAAGCGUUAUCCGGAUUCACUGGGUGUAAAGGGAGCGUAGACGGCGACGCACGUCUGGAGUGAAAGCCCGGGGCCCAACCCCGGGACUGCUCUGGAAACUGCGGCGCUUGAGUACGGGAGGGGCAGGGGGAAUGCCUGGUGUAGCGGUGAAAUGCGUAGAUAUCAGGAGGAACACCGGCGGCGAAGGCGGCCUGCUGGACCGUGACUGACGUUGAGGCUCGAGAGCGUGGGGAGCAAACAGGAUUAGAUACCCCUGUAGUC
rnacentral:rRNA from 1 species